AGAGUUUGAUCAUGGCUCAGAACGAACGCUGGCGGCGUGGAUAAGACAUGCAAGUCUAGCGGGAUACAGGCUGUAGCAAUAUGGCUUGUGUUCAGCGGCGCAAGGGUGCGUAACACGUGGGCAAUUUGCCAUGAAGUUUGGGAUAAUCCCGCGAAAGCGGGACUAAUACCGGAUGUGGAAAUCAGGUGGCAUCAUUUGAUUUCUAAAGUUGGGGACCGCAAGGCCUGACGCUUCAUGAUAAGCCCGCGGCCUAUCAGCUAGUUGGUGAGGUAACGGCUCACCAAGGCUAAGACGGGUAGCUGGUCUGAGAGGACGACCAGCCACACUGGAACUGAGACACGGUCCAGACACCUACGGGUGGCAGCAGUCGAGAAUUUUUCACAAUGGGCGAAAGCCUGAUGGAGCGACGCCGCGUGGGGGAUGAAUGGCUUCGGCCCGUAAACCCCUGUCAUUUGCGAACAAAUUUCACGUUUGAACAGAACGUGAAUUGAUUGUAGCGGAAGAGGAAGGGACGGCUAACUCUGUGCCAGCAGCCGCGGUAAUACAGAGGUCCCGAGCGUUGUUCGGAUUCACUGGGCGUAAAGGGUGCGUAGGUGGUGAGGUAAGUCGGAUGUGAAAUCUCCAGGCUCAACCUGGAAACUGCAUUGGAAACUACCUUGCUUGAGGGUUUGAGGGGGGACUGGAAUUCUCGGUGUAGCAGUGAAAUGCGUAGAUAUCGAGAGGAACACCAGUGGCGAAGGCGAGUCCCUGGAAAACAUCUGACACUGAGGCACGAAAGCUAGGGGAGCAAACAGGAUUAGAUACCCUGGUAGUCCUAGCCCUAAACGGUGCUUGCUUGCUGUAAGUGGAAUCGACCCCACUUGUGGCGGAGCUAACGCGUUAAGCAAGCCGCCUGGGAAGUACGGUCGCAAGAUUAAAACUCAAAUGAAUUGACGG
rnacentral:rRNA from 1 species